UUCUUUAUGAUUUUUAUGUAAAGUAAUUUCUGCCCAAUGAUUUUUUAAAUGGCUGCAGUAUAUUGACUGUACAAAGGUAGCAUAAUAAUUAGUUUUUUAAUUGGAAACUUGAAUGAAAGGAUAAAUGAGAAAUUAUCUUUAUUAAUUUUAAUAUUAAAAUUUAAAUUUUUGGUUAAAAUGCCAAAUUUUGUUUUAGGGACGAUAAGACCCUAUAGAAUUUAUAAUUUUAUAUUAGUUAUUAUUUGUUUUAGAUUAAUUUAAUUUAAUUAAUUUAAAUUUUUAAUUGGGGUGAUUAAUAAAUUUAGACUUUAUUUUUUUUAUUCAUUUAUUUAUGUUAAUUUAGAUCCUUAUUUAAGAUUGUAAGAUAAAUUACCUUAGGGAUAACAGCGUAAUUUUAAUGGAAAGUUCAUAUUUAAAUUAGAGUUUGCGACCUCGAUGUUGAAUUAAGAUUAAUUUUUGGUGAAGAAGCUUUAAUUAUAAGUCUGUUCGACUUUUAUAAUCUUACA
rnacentral:rRNA from 1 species